UACAGAGGGUGCAAGCGUUAAUCGGAAUUACUGGGCGUAAAGGGCGCGUAGGCGGUGAGAUGUGUGUGAUGUGAAAGCCCUGGGCUUAACCUAGGAAGUGCAUCGCAAACUGUCUUGCUGGAGUAUAUGAGAGGGUGGCGGAAUUUCCGGUGUAGCGGUGAAAUGCGUAGAGAUCGGAAGGAACGUCGAUGGCGAAGGCAGCCACCUGGCAUAAUACUGACGCUGAGGAGCGAAAAGCGUGGGGAGCGAACAGG
rnacentral:rRNA from 1 species